rnacentral:rRNA from 1 species
AACCUCCGCAAUGUGAGAAAUCGCGACGGGGGGAUCCCAAGUGCCAUUCUUAACGGGAUGGCUUUUCAUUAGUGUAAAGAGCUUUUGGAAUAAGAGCUGGGCAAGACCGGUGCCAGCCGCCGCGGUAACACCGGCAGCUCUAGUGGUAGCAAUUUUUAUUGGGCCUAAAGCGUUCGUAGCCGGUUUGAUAAGUCUCUGGUGAAAUCCUAUGGCUUAACUGUGGGAAUUGCUGGAGAUACUAUUAGACUUGAGGUCGGGAGAGGUUAGCGGUACUCCCAGGGUAGGGGUGAAAUCCUGUAAUCCUGGGAGGACCACCUGUGGCGAAGGCGGCUAACUGGAACGAUCCUGACGGUGAGGGACGAAAGCCAGGGGCGCGAACCGGAUUAGAUACCCGGGUAGUCCUGGCCGUAAACGAUGUGGACUGGGUGUUGGAAUGGCUUCGAGCUGUUUCAGUGCCGAAGGGAAGCUGUUAAGUCCACCGCCUGGGGAGUACGGUCGCAAGACUGAAACUUAAAGGAAUU